CAAUUUCUCGAAACUUCUUAAGUCCCUUAUAACAGGAUUAAGCUAAACUCACUAUUUUUGGUUUUCAAUAAUUUGGAUAAUAUUUACUUCUUUAAGAGUUUUUAUACUUUAGAUAGGAACUAUCUAUAUGUUAGUUAAAUUAAACCAUUUUUCAUUUAUCAAAAUUUCAUUCAAGUAUGUAUUUUGAGUAAUUGAAAUAAGCUACUUAAGCCUGUUAAGCUUAAGAAGUUUCGAGAAAUUGGGGCCAGGACAUUAAAUAAUUCGAAAAUAGAUUCUUUCUUUUUAUAACGAUUUAUUGCAAACAAAUAUAAACUGAUAUUUUAGCAUUCGCACAUUGACUUCUGUCUUGAAAAGUUACUCCUUUGGUUGGUACUUACGUUGGCGUAAGUUAAUAAACCUAUCCAAAUAUUCCCUUUUGAGUUGCAUAAUUUCAAGAGGUGUCGUGAAACAUAAGAAGGAACUAUUAAGUAAUACAAUGGAAGUCUUUUCAGCCGUUGUUUUCUUUUGCAUGGCGUCGCUAUAUAGGGCAAUGUCGCUUCGUUUGGAUAUUGAAUCCACUGCAUUGGAUGGUUUUGUCGAACCAUUUCAAGCUUAACAAGUGACUGGAAUUGUUCUCGAGGACAAUGCGGCUGUGUCAUUGUUACUUCACCAUUUAAAGAAGCUCUUCAAAUUCAGAUUAUAUAUCAAUUGGAGGACUUUUUCAAUGCCACCAUCAAAGGUCCAUGGGGCAAAGACUCUUGUGCCUCUCGGUUGCUUCAAAAUACCGCAGCCCAGCGACGGUGAACAUUUCAAACUAAUGAUGUUCUUGAAAGGUCUUGGACGUGGUGAAGGGUAAAAUAAUAUACUGGCUAACAGCGCUGUCAAUCCGUGGCGUAUUUGCAAUGUUGUGAAACAGCAAAUCAGAUAAAACAACAAAAGGACUUUAAUAGUAACAAAAUCUCUGACAUGUAAACAUUUUUGUUAAUUUUAGUGAUCAUUUUACCAUUCAUAAUAUAGGCAUUCUUUGCUUCGACAGCGAUAUCACGACGUGACUGGACACCCAAAUUGAUCUCAACCAUAUCAAAUAGUUUGUUAUCGUUUAGAGACAAUAUUAGAUAUGAAAACUUCAAGCUAAAAUUAUACAUGAUUUUUUUCAACAAAAUCUUUUGGUAAUACAAUACAUGUGAAUGUCAAAACAAAGCUUCAUAAUUUGUUUAAAAAACAUAACAGAAACACAGUCAAGAUAUUCUUUGUUUGUAUCUGAUCGUUGAAUAUUAAGUUAUUUUAUUAGUUUGUUUACUUUAAUUUACCUUAUAACCUAUUGAUUGUCGGCCCGACUAGCUUCUUUUUUUAAAUAAUUAAAAAAAAAUGGCUUUUAAUUUUAAUUUGCUUUUUACACACUUCAUAAAAUAGAAACACAGCGCUGAAUAUAUUUAAAGCACAUUUACAUUAUUCCGGCCACUGGGCCGUCCUCUCUAGCUUGCGCUAUAUCUUGAUUGUAAAUAUUAGAAUGCAAAAUUAUUCAUUUUGUUCUUUCAUGGAUGCACUAUUUAAUAUCUAAUAUGUGUAUCUAGUUUGUGUU